AUACGGAGGGUGCAAGCGUUGUUCGGAAUCACUGGGCGUAAAGGGCGCGCAGGCGGUUUGGUAAGUCAGAUGUGAAAGCCCACGGCUCAACCGUGGAAGUGCAUUUGAAACUGUCAGACUUGAGUACUAGAGGGGAAAGUGGAAUUCCCGGUGUAGAGGUGAAAUUCGUAGAUAUCGGGAGGAAUACCGGUGGCGAAGGCGACUUUCUGGCUAGAUACUGACGCUGAGGCGCGAAAGCGUGCGGAGCAAACAGGAUUAGAAACCCUAGUAGUCC
rnacentral:rRNA from 1 species